CCUACGGGGGGCAGCAGUGGGGAAUAUUGCACAAUGGGGGAAACCCUGAUGCAGCAACGCCGCGUGGGUGAAGGAGCGUUUCGGCGCGUAAAGCCCUGUCAGCGGGGAAGAAGAAAGACGGUACCCGACCAAGAAGCCCCGGCUAACUACGUGCCAGCAGCCGCGGUAAUACGUAGGUGGCGAGCGUUGUCCGGAUUUACUGGGUGUAAAGGGCGCGUAGGCGGGAAUGCAAGUCAGAUGUGAAAUCCAUGGGCUUAACCCAUGAACUGCAUUUGAAACUGUAUUUCUUGAGUGUCGGAGCGGUA
rnacentral:rRNA from 1 species